UCUUCUAUCUGUUGCAAAUGACUAUAUCAGUUUUUGUUGGUUGACAUUGAACACUAGUAAUUUUUUGUGAAAAAUUGAGAUUCUACCUCUAAUUGAACACUAGUAGUUUUUGGUUACAUGGUAACAAGCAAUCAAAUGGGAUGAACUUUGACACACCCAUGAUGAUCCCUCUAACUGACAUGUGUAAUCAUAGUUUCAAUUCAAAUGCUAGAAUUGUUCAGGAACAAGAGACUGGUAGCACUAAGAUGCGGGUGAAGGUUGUGGCUGAGAAAGCAAUCAAAGAAGAUGACCCUUUAUUACUUUGUUAUGUUUGAUGUUGUUGUUGACUCUAUAUUGAAAUUUUCUAACUUGAAUGGAGCAUAUGUUUUUAAUA